rnacentral:rRNA from 1 species
UGUAAGCGUAUACCAAAGUUGUUGCAGUUAAAACGCUCGUAGUCGGAAUUUGGCAGUUCCGGCAGUGUGCACGUCGUGUGCGCACUUUGCGGGGACUGCUUUUGUGGUCUUGCGUAGGAUGAGGCACUUUCAUUAGUGAACGUCCUCACGCAACCACUCUUUACUGUGAGAAAAUCAGAGUGCUCAAAGCAGGCAUUUGCCGUGAAUGUAUUAGCAUGGAAUAAUAGAAUAGGACUCGGUUCUAUUUUGUUGGUUUGUUGGGACUGAGUAAUGAUUAAGAGGGACAGUUGGGGGCAUUUGUAUUCCGGCGCUAGAGGUGAAAUUCUUAGAUUGCCGGAAGACAAACUGCUGCGAAAGCGUCUGCCAAGGAUGUUUUCAUUGA